rnacentral:piRNA from 2 species
UGAAGAAGACGUGAACCUAUGAUGUGGUCC